CACACACACACACACACACACACACACACACACACACACACACACACACACACACACACACACAAAGGAACACACAUAUAAAAGUAUUGGCUCAACAUUGAAAGGUCAGAAGAGGUCACCAAUAGAGGUCAAAGCCCCAUAUUCGCAAACAUUUUGGGUCACACACACACACACACACACACACAUAUUUGGUAAGGCUUGACAGAGGUUGUAUUGUAAUUUCCAAGGGUAGUUUUAGGUGCGUAGUGAUAGUCUGACAAGGCUUUGGUGGAGGUUGUGUUAGUGUGUCCAUGGGUAGUGUUAUGAGCCUGGUGAUAGUUUGACAAGGCUUUGGUGGAGGUUGUGUUAGUGUGUCCAUGGGUAGUGUUAUGAGCCUGGUGAUAGUUUGACAAGGCUUUGGUGGAGGUUGUGUUAGUGUGUCCAUGGGUAGUGUUAUGAGCCUGGUGAUAGUUUGACAAGGCUUUGGUGGAGGUUGUGUUAGUGUGUCCAUGGGUAGUGUUAUGAGCCUGGUGAUAGUUUGACAAGGCUUUGGUGGAGGUUGUGUUAGUGUGUCCAUGGGUAGUGUUAUGAGCCUGGUGAUAGUUUGACAAGGCUUUGGUGGAGGUUGUGUUAGUGUGUCCAUGGGUAGUGUUAUGAGCCUGGUGAUAGUUUGACAAGGCUUUGGUGGAGGUUGUGUUAGUGUGUCCAUGGGUAGUGUUAUGAGCCUGGUGAUAGUUUGACAAGGCUUUGGUGGAGGUUGUGUUAGUGUGUCCAUGGGUAGUGUUAUGAGCCUGGUGAUAGUUUGACAAGGCUUUGGUGGAGGUUGUGUUAGUGUGUCCAUGGGUAGUGUUAUGAGCCUGGUGAUAGUUUGACAAGACUUUGGUGGAGGUUGUGUUAGUGUGUCCAUGGGUAGUGUUAUGAGCCUGGUGAUAGUUUGACAAGGCUUUGGUGGAGGUUGUGUUAGUGUGUCCAUGGGUAGUGUUAUGAGCCUGGUGAUAGUUUGACAAGGCUUUGGUGGAGGUUGUGUUAGUGUGUCCAUGGGUAGUGUUAUGAGCCUGGUGAUAGUUUGACAAGGCUUUGGUGGAGGUUGUGUUAGUGUGUCCAUGGGUAGUGUUAUGAGCCUGGUGAUAGUUUGACAAGGCUUUGGUGGAGGUUGUGUUAGUAUGUCCAUGGGUAGUGUUAUGAACCUGGUGAUAGUUUGACAAGCCCACUGAUGCAUGGCGAGUGGAAAGGAUGAAUUGAUGAUCGUAAAGCCAAUCUAAUUAUCGUAGUUUGGGGUCAUUGAUGUAAAUUUAGGAACGUUAAUACAAUGGGGCCGUCGAUGUGAGGUUACAAAUCACUGAAAUUUUUAAGAAACCAUGCAGGAAAUAUCUUUGUAUCUAGAGUAUUGAAUAUGGACCAUUAUAGAGAAUAUAGUUCGGUUUAGAUGUUUAGAAUGAGUGUUAACCCCUUGAGUGUGGAUUUCCUAGCAGAAGACCUCACCAAGCUACAGGAAUGGAACAAAAAGUGGCUGCUACAAUGCAAUGAAGAAAAAUGUAAAGUCCUGCACCUUGGGAGGGGAUAUCCAGCACACCAAUACCACAUGGGAAACACUCCACUAUCCACCACAGAGGCAGAGAAA